GGCUUAUACAUGCAAGUCGAGGGGCAGCGGGGGUAGCAAUACCUGCCGGCGACCGGCAAACGGGUGCGGAACACGUACGCAACUUUCCCAAAACUGGUGAAUAGCCUUCCGAAAGGGAGAUUAAUACACCGUAAGAUGUAGGAGUGGCAUCACUCUUAUAUUAUAGCUCCGGCGGUUUUGGAUGGGCGUGCGGCUGAUUAGGUAGUUGGCGGGGUAACGGCCCACCAAGCCUUCGAUCAGUAACUGGUGUGAGAGCACGACCAGUCACACGGGCACUGAGACACGGGCCCGACUCCUACGGGAGGCAGCAGUAAGGAAUAUUGGUCAAUGGACGCAAGUCUGAACCAGCCAUGCCGCGUGCAGGAUGAAGGCCCUCUGGGUUGUAAACUGCUUUUAUCUGGGACGAAACAAGGGAAUUCUUUCCCUCUUGACGGUACCAGAGGAAUAAGCACCGGCUAACUCCGUGCCAGCAGCCGCGGUAAUACGGAGGGUGCAAGCGUUAUCCGGAUUUACUGGGUCUAAAGGGUGCGUAGGUGGGUAUGAAAGUCAGUGGUGAAAUCUUCAAGCUUAAUUUGGAAACUGCCAUUGAUACUUUAUAUCUUGAAUAUCCCGGAGGUAAGCGGAAUAUGUCAUGUAGCGGUGAAAUGCUUAGAUAUGACAUAGAACGCCCAUUGCGAAGGCAGCUUACUACAGGAUUAUUGACACUGAGGCACGAAAGCGUGGGGAUCAAACAGGAUUAGAUACCCUGGUAGUCCACGCCCUAAACGAUGGAUACUCGACAUCAGCGAUACACUGUUGGUGUCUGAGCGAAAGCAUUAAGUAUCCCACCUGGGAAGUACG
rnacentral:rRNA from 1 species